GAUCAUGGCUCAGGACGAACGCUGGCGGCGUGCCUAACACAUGCAAGUCGAACGGAGUAAUUUUUAUUUCGGUAGAAUUCUUAGUGGCGAACGGGUGAGUAACGCGUAGGCAACCUGCCCUUUAGACGGGGACAACAUUCCGAAAGGAGUGCUAAUACCGGAUGUGAUCAUUGUGCCGCAUGGCAGGAUGAAGAAAGAUGGCCUCUACAAGUAAGCUAUCGCUAAAGGNUGGGCCUGCGU
rnacentral:rRNA from 1 species